rnacentral:rRNA from 1 species
UACAGAGGUCUCAAGCGUUGUUCGGAUUCAUUGGGCGUAAAGGGUGUGUAGGUGGCGCGCUAAGUCGGGUGUGAAAUUUCGGAGCUUAACUCCGAAACUGCAUUCGAUACUGGCGUGCUUGAGGACUGGAGAGGAGACUGGAAUUCAUGGUGUAGCAGUGAAAUGCGUAGAGAUCAUGAGGAACACCCGUGGCGAAAGCGGCUCUCUGGGACGGUACUGACGCUGAGACGCGAAAGCGUGGGGAGCAAACAGG